ACCUGCGGAAGGAUCAUUGUCGUGACCCUGACCAAAAUAGACCGUGAACAUGUUAUCCAUGCCGCCGAGUGAUUGGUCUUGCACCAGUCACUCGGAACGGGGUGGCCUCCCUUUUCGAAGGGUUGCCUCCCUAAAAGAACCCACGGCGCCGAACGGCGUCAAGGAACACUGAAUCUACCUUGCUCGCACGGUUUUGGACUGGCUUGCCGGUUCCACUAUCGUGCAGCGAAUAUGUUAACAUCCACAUGACUCUCGGCAACGGAUAUCUCGGCUCUCGCAUCGAUGAAGAACGUAGCAAAAUGCGAUACCUGGUGUGAAUUGCAGAAUCCCGUGAACCAUCGAGUUUUUGAACGCAAGUUGCGCCCGAGGCCUUUUGGCUGAGGGCACGUCUGCCUGGGCGUCACGCCAAAAGACACUCCUCACCCAUCAUGGUGGUGAUGAGGAAGUGGUGUUUGGCUCCCCGUGCCUCUGCGUGCGGAGGGCCUAAGUUUGGGCUGCCGGCGGUGCCGAUCACAGCACAAGGUGGAUAACGGAAGUUGUUCCUGCUGCUAUGAUUCUGCCAUGAUGCCCUUAGCACCCAUGUAAACCGAAGUGCAUUUCACUCGGACCGCGACCCCAGGUCAGUCGGGACUACCCGCUGAAUUUAAGCAUAUCAAUAAGCGG
rnacentral:rRNA from 1 species